UACGUAGGGGGCAAGCGUUGUCCGGAUUUAUUGGGCGUAAAGCGCACGCAGGCGGUCUUUUAAGUUUUGAGUGACAGGUGGUGGCUCAAACUAUCACAGGCCUUGAAAAACUGGAAGACUUGAGGGCUUCAGAGGGACGCGGAAUUCCAGGUGGAGCGGUGAAAUGCGUAGGAUAUCUGGAGGAACACCGGUGGCGAAGGCGGCAUGCCUG
rnacentral:rRNA from 1 species